GCUAGCGUAGCUUAACUAAAGCAUAACACUGAAGAUGUUAAGAUAGACCCGAGAAUGGUUUCGUAAGCA
rnacentral:tRNA from 1 species